AAAUCUGUCAAGUCUAGAACCACAAGGUCGGCGGACAAGCAUCUUCCCUCAACAAACACAGGACUACACUGGCAGACUGACUCUGCCACUGAUGGAUCACACUUGGGUCCACUGACCCAUAGAGGAUACUCUAACCCAGAGAUCAUCAACCCCAACCUCUCAACGGCUCUCGGAGCAAUAAAAGAAUGAGAUGCACCAGG
rnacentral:lncRNA from 1 species